AUUGAACGCUGGCGGCGGGCCUAACACAUGCAAGUCGAGCGAGCGGCGGACGGGUGAGUAAUGUCUGGGAAACUGCCUGAUGGGGGGGGAUAACUACUGGAAACGGUAGCUAAUACCGCAUAACAUCGGAGGAUCCCAUAUGGGAUUAGCUUGUAGGGGGGGUAACGGCUCACCUAGGCGACGAUCCCUAGCUGGUCUGAGAGGAUGAUCAGCCACACUGGGACGGGGACACGGACCAGACUCCUACGGUAGGCAGCAGUGGGGAAUAUUGCACAAUGGGCGCAAGCCGGAUGCAGCCAUGCCGCGUGUAUGAAGAAGGCCUUCGGGGUGUAAAGUACUUUCAGUCGGGAGGCGUUACCGGCAGAAGAAGCACCGGCUAACUCCGUGCCAGCCGCCGCGGUAAUAC
rnacentral:rRNA from 1 species